rnacentral:rRNA from 1 species
UGUGAGGCUUGUGUGUAGGCAAAUCCGCACACUUUAAGGCCAGGCUGUGAUGGGGAGGGAAAAUUACAGUACCGAAGGUCAUGUGUUCCCGCUGCCAAGAAAAGCCUCUAGCCAGGUGAUGGUGCCCGUACCGCAAACCGACACAGGUAGUCGAGCAGAGUAUGCUAAGGCGCUCGGAAGAACUCUCGUUAAGGAACUCGGCAAAAUGACCCCGUAACUUCGGGAGAAGGGGUGCCUCGGUAGGGUGAAUAGCCCGAGGGGGCCGCAGUGAAAAGGCCCAAGCGACUGUUUAGCAAAAACACAGGUCUGUGCGAAGCCGUAAGGCGAAGUAUACGGGCUGACGCCUGCCCGGUGCUGGAAGGUUAAGAGGAGUGGUUAGCCGCAAGGCGAAGCUAUGAAUUGAAGCCCCAGUAAACGGCGGCCGUAACAAUAACGGUCCUAAGGUAGCGAAAUUCCUUGUCAGGUAAAUUCUGACCCGCACGAAUGGCGUAACGACUUGGGCGCUGUCUCAACGAGAGAUCCGGUGAAAUUUUAAUACCUGUGAAGAUGCAGGUUACCCGCGACAAGACGGAAAGACCCCAUGGAGCUUUACUGCAGCUUGAUAUUGAACUUUGGUACGAUCUGUACAGGAUAGGUGGGAGCCUUGGAAACCGGAGCGCCAGCUUCGGUGGAGGCAACGUUGGGAUACCACCCUGAUCGUAUCGGAGUUCUAACCUGGUACCGUAAUCCGGUACAGGGACCGUGUCAGGUGGGCAGUUUGACUGGGGCGGUCGCCUCCUAAAAUGUAACGGAGGCGCCCAAAGGUUCCCUCAGAAUGGUUGGAAAUCAUUCGUAGCGUGUAAAGGCAUAAGGGAGCUUGACUGCGAGACCUACAAGUCGAGCAGGGACGAAAGUCGGGCUUAGUGGUCCGGUGGUACCGAAUGGAAGGGCCAUCGCUCAACGGAUAAAAGCUACCCUGGGGAUAACAGGCUUAUCUCCCCCAAGAGUCCACAUCGACGGGGAGGUUUGGCACCUCGAUGUCGGCUCAUCGCAUCCUGGGGCUGAAGUAGGUCCCAAGGGUUGGGCUGUUCGCCCAUUAAAGCGGUACGCGAGCUGGGUUCAGAACGUCGUGAGACAGUUCGGUCCCUAUCUGUCGUGGGCGUAGGAAAUUUGAGAAGAGCUGUCCUUAGUACGAGAGGACCGGGAUGGACGCACCGCUGGUGUACCAGUUGUUCCGCCAGGAGCACCGCUGGGUAGCCAAGUGCGGACGGGAUAAGCGCUGAAAGCAUCUAAGCGUGAAGCCCCCUUCAAGAUGAGAUUUCCCAGUAUGUAAGACCCCUGAAAGACGAUCAGGUUGAUAGGUUCGAGGUGGAAGUGCAGCAAUGCAUGCAGCUGACGAAUACUAAUCGGUCGAGGGCUUAUCUAA